GUGCAUUCUGUUCACAGUUUAGGUUUUUAGAGAACAAACAGAUAUCAAGCAGGCAAGCACACUCGAGCCGAUUCUGGCGGAAAUGCGGCACUGUCGGCUCAGUCUUGGCAUUGAUGAGAAGAUAAUGGGCCAGAGCCGUGCUGAAGCUUCAAAACACUUCUGGAUGUCAGACGGCUUUUUCUCCAUAGACCAACGCUACUUUUGCGUCAUCGAAGGGUAACGCCCCUUUUUGGGGGAAAACAAACGGAUUCCCCUGAUACAGAACUCGCUCUAGUUUCUUGAUAGCAAAACUGGCACAAACAUACACACUCUCUUUGCCAGCCGAGAACCGUGAGCGGUAUUUAAAGAAGCUACUGGAUACGGGGUUACAGAGGUGUCCAUUUGAAAUGGUUGAAAACUGGAUUAAUGACCCCACGCAAAUAUGGACUAUUCAGACAUCUACCAUUAUCUUGUGGAAUCACCAAACUAGGGGAAAGCUGUUCCCAUGUGGGUGCAGUUCUGUAUAAAUUGGAAGCCUCAGUCCGCCUGGCCAUCACCACCACUGUUCAGCUGCAAAUGUUUGUGUGUGCAGCACAGUAUGCAGACUUUGUUACUUGGACCCCACAGCAGACCACCAUCUUUAGAAUCUUAAAAGAUGAUGAAUUCAUUAACGGAAUGGUGGACGUGAUCAGCAGAUUUUGGGCAAAACACAUUCACCCACGAUUGAUGACAACAGUGCUACAAAGUGAGACUAAACCAGACAGCGAGGGAGUGGACCGUCAAGGAUGUGAAAGCGACCUUUCAGCACACCAAUCACCCGCUCUGUAAGGACGACAACAACAAAAACCCAUACGGAAAUGUAAUAUAUGACAUAUAUGUUUCUGUUUCACUAGUGACGCCGUCAUAUGCUAUAUAUAAGACAAUAUAUUGCUAUCACAUAUACAUAUCUCUACAUAUAUGUUGAUAUAGGUUUUUAACACACACACACACACACACACACACACACAUA
ensembl:lncRNA